GGGGACUGCGGGCGGCGCUGUGUCCGUCGCCAUGACAGAUCAGACCUAUUGUGACCGCCUGGUGCAGGACACGCCUUUCCUGACAGGCCACGGGCGCUUGAGUGAGCAGCAGGUGGACAGGAUCAUCCUCCAGCUGAACCGUUACUACCCACAGAUCCUUACCAACAAGGAGGCGGAAAAGGUGCUGAGGAGUUCCGGAACCCUAAGGCAUCCUUGCGUGUGCGGCUCUGUGACCUCCUGAGCCACCUGCAGCGGAGCGGUGAGCGGGACUGCCAGGAGUUCUACCGAGCCCUGUAUAUCCAUGCCCAGCCCCUGCACAGCGCCUGCCCAGCCGCCACGCUCUGCAGAACUCAGAUUGCACAGAGCUAGACUCGGGCAGCCAGAGCGGCGAGCUGAGUAACAGGGGACCCAUGAGCUUCCUGGCUGGCCUGGGCCUUGCUGUGGGACUGGCCCUGCUCCUGUACUGCUAUCCGCCAGACCCCAAGGGCCUGCCAGGGACCCGGCGCGUCCUCGGUUUCUCGCCUGUCAUCAUCGACAGACAUGUCAGCCGCUACCUGCUGGCCUUCCUGGCAGAUGACCUAGGGGGGCUCUGACAGACCCCGGACCCAGGGCCUCACCUGCCACUCAACCAAAGAGUCCUCGAGCCGGCCCGCCAAGGGGACUGCUGCUUCUUUUUCUAAAUGCAUAUUUUUCAUUAUUUAUAAUUUGUGUAAAAAACACACCUUCACCUUACAAGGUGCUGACCAUAUUAAAUGUUC
rnacentral:sRNA from 1 species